CUAGCUUCUGGUCACCAUGACAAUGAUGGCAUCUUAAAAGAAGCAUAACUGAUCAUUGAGGAUAAGAUGUAACAAUGGAAAUGGAGGAAAAUACAGAAAUAUGACAACAGAAGCAGGGACCACAAGCCAAGCAGAUGAGCCAAGUCUCCACAGAACAAAAUGAGUAAUGAGAAUAUCUGGCGUGUGCUGACUGCUUCAUAUGCACCAGGCCUGUGCUGUGAGCUCGAUGUUGGUUAUCUGAGUAAGCAGCCUGCAGGUUGCCAGCAGCAAACCU